UACGGAGGGUGCGAGCGUUGUCCGGAAUUAUUGGGCGUAAAGAGCUCGUAGGCGGUCUGUUGCGUCCGCUGUGAAAACCCGGGGCUUAACCCCUGGCUUGCAGUGGAUACGGACAGACUAGAGGUAGGUAGGGGAGAAUGGAAUUCCCGGUGUAGCGGUGAAAUGCGUAGAGAUGUGGAGGAACACCAGUGGCGAAGGCGGCUUUCUGGUCUGUAACUGACGCUGAGGCGCGAAAGCGUGGGGAGCAAACAGG
rnacentral:rRNA from 1 species